AUAAGCAGUACCCAAACCAUUAAGGGCUUUACAUAAUAUUUCAGCAGAGCAUCAAUGGGAAAAUAUUUGAAAACAUACAAACUGAUCCUAUUUUCAACUGAAACUAUGAAUAAAACAAAGAAUGUUUGCUCUUUAGCACUGACUUCUCAGAACACUUACACCUUUUUGGUUAGUAAAUGUCAAGUAGGAAUUGUUUCUUAUUUCAGAAAGUUUUAACAUGAAUGUCUCUUUCAAUCGGACUUCUUUAACAACAGUAUGCUUCUUACACAAAAAAUACUUCAGUCUUGAGAUUAAUGAAGAUAUUCAGACAAAGGGAUACAAGAAUGUACUGGAUCAAAGGGGGAAAAUCUUGCCACAGUGAUGUCAAUGUAUUAAUUACAGCAAGUGCAACCUAAUAAAAUCCAACACUGAAAAGUAGAAAGAUCAAGGACAGAACACAGCUUUAUCAGUCUAAGCAAAGCAGAAAUAAUGCACUUAGGGAGACAAAAGAACAGAGUUUCCGAGGAGACCUUGGUAAACACUGUGAUUCAGGCAGCUGCAAUUGUAUGGACAAGCAUAAUCACAAGAUAAUGGAAAGUGAAGGAGAAGAAAUCAUUGGUCAGCAUUUAGAUAGUAUGAGGCAGGAGAAUAGCAGCACUGAAACAAAUAUAAAAUCAGCAUUGACAGGAAGUGUUUAGAACAAAAUGACGGGGAGGAAGGGGGAGAGAGACAGAAAAUGGACAAGUUGAUGACAGUAAUCCAUAACCUGCAUUUUUUUAGGUACCGUGACAAAGAUUGAAGCUGAUACACACUACGGAUGAAAAGAAAGAAUGAUGAGAAAUUAAAUCUAAAAAAAGGACUGCAAUAAGAUUGAAAAAGAAAUGUUUCCCUUUUCAUGCUCCUUGUGGAGCUGUCUACUCACUGGCGGGAAGGAUAUUAGAGGCAAAGAUGAAGGCCACAUAAUGAGAAGACAGGAAAGCUUGGAGAAGGUAAUGAUGCUGGGAAAAAUGGAAGCAAAAAGGAAGAGGACUAACCAAGAGCAAGAUAGAUGGAUGGUAUCCUUGAAGUGACUGGUUUGACCUUGAAGGAGCUGAGGGUGGCCGUCAGCCGACAGGGAGCUCUGGCCUGGGCUGGUCCAUGAGGUCACAAAGAAUUGGAAGGGACUGAACGAAUAAACAACAAAAUGAAGCUGUUGCUCAGUUG
rnacentral:lncRNA from 1 species